UACGGGGGGGGCAAGCGUUGUUCGGAAUUACUGGGCGUAAAGGGCUCGUAGGCGGCCAACUAAGUCGGAUGUGAAAUCCCCAGGCUUAACCUGGGAACUGCAUCCGAUACUGGAUGGCUUGAAUUCGGGAGAGGGAUGCAGAAUUCCAGGUGUAGCGGUGAAAUGCGUAGAUAUCUGGAGGAAUACCGGUGGCGAAGGCGGAUCUCUGGGCCUUACCUGACGCUCAGGUGCGAAAGCUAGGGGAGCGAACAGG
rnacentral:rRNA from 1 species